AGUGAACGCUGGCGGUAGGCCUAACACAUGCAAGUCGAACGGCAGCACAGUAAGAGCUUGCUCUUACGGGUGGCGAGUGGCGGACGGGUGAGGAAUACAUCGGAAUCUACUUUUUCGUGGGGGAUAACGUAGGGAAACUUACGCUAAUACCGCAUACGACCUACGGGUGAAAGCAGGGGAUCUUCGGACCUUGCGCGAAUGCAUGAGCCGAUGUCGGAUUAGCUAGUUGGCGGGGUAAAGGCCCACCAAGGCGACGAUCCGUAGCUGGUGUGAGAGGAUGAUCAGCCACACUGGAACUGAGACACGGUACAGACUCCUACGGGAGGCAGCAGUGGGGAAUAUUGGACAAUGGGCGCAAGCCUGAUCCAGCCAUACCGCGUGGGUGAAGAAGGCCUUCGGGUUGUAAAGCCCCUUUGUUGGGAAAGAAAAGCAUCAGGUUAAUACCCCGCUGUUCUGACGGUACCCAAAGAAUAAGCACCGGCUAACUUCGUG
rnacentral:rRNA from 1 species